rnacentral:rRNA from 1 species
CGGGACGGGUGAGUAAUGUCUGGGAAACUGCCUGAUGGAGGGGGGAUAACUACUGGAAACGGUAGCUAAUACCGCAUAAUGUCGCAAGACCAAAGAGGGGGACCUUCGGGCCUCUUGCCAUCAGAUGUGCCCAGAUGGGAUUAGCUAGUAGGUGGGGUAACGGCUCACCUAGGCGACGAUCCCUAGCUGGUCUGAGAGGAUGACCAGCCACACUGGAACUGAGACACGGCCCAGACUCCUACGGGAGGCAGCAUG